ACGGAGGAUCCAAGCGUUAUCCGGAUUUACUGGGUUUAAAGGGUGCGUAGGCGGAUUGAUAAGUCAGUGGUGAAAGGCUACAGCUCAACUGUAGUACUGCCAUUGAAACUGUUAGACUUGAGUAACAAUGAGGUAGGCGGAAUGUGUAGUGUAGCGGUGAAAUGCUUAGAUAUGACACAGAACACCGAAUGCGUAGGCAGCUUACUAGAAGUUUACUGACGCUGAUGCACGAAAGCGUGGGGAUCAAACAG
rnacentral:rRNA from 1 species